rnacentral:tRNA from 1 species
GCUGAAAUAGUUUAAAAGGUUAAAACGUAUCACUCAUGACGAUAUAAUAAAGGUUCAAUUCCUUUUUUCGGCU